rnacentral:rRNA from 1 species
CAGCAGCCGCGGGAAUACGAAGGGGGCUAGCGUUGCUCGGAAUUACUGGGCGUAAAGGGCGCGUAGGCGGACAGUUUAGUCGGGGGUGAAAGCCCGGGGCUCAACCUCGGAAUUGCCUUCGAUACUGGCUGUCUUGAGUGUGAGAGAGGUGUGUGGAACUCCGAGUGUAGAGGUGAAAUUCGUAGAUAUUGGGAAGAACACCGGUGGCGAAGGCGGCAACCUGGCUCAUUACUGACGCUGAGGCGCGAAAGCGUGGGGAGCAAACAGGAUUAGAUACCCCCGUAGUCCCUGUCUCUUAUAC